rnacentral:rRNA from 1 species
UACGUAGGGGGCUAGCGUUGUCCGGAAUCAUUGGGCGUAAAGCGCGUGUAGGCGGUCCGGUAAGUCCGCUGUGAAAGUCGGGGGCUCAACCCUCGGAUGCCGGUGGAUACUGUCGGGCUUGAGUACGGAAGAGGCGAGUGGAAUUCCUGGUGUAGCGGUGAAAUGCGCAGAUAUCAGGAAGAACACCGAUGGCGAAGGCAGCUCUCUGGGACGGUACUGACGCUGAGACGCGAAAGCGUGGGGAGCGAACAGG